GACGAACGCUGGCGGCGUGCCUAAUACAUGCAAGUAGAACGCUGAAGAGAGGAGCUUGCUCUUCUUGGAUGAGUUGCGAACGGGUGAGUAACGCGUAGGUAACCUGCCUUGUAGCGGGGGAUAACUAUUGGAAACGAUAGCUAAUACCGCAUAACAAUGGAUGACACAUGUCAUUUAUUUGAAAGGGGCAAUUGCUCCACUACAAGAUGGACCUGCGUUGUAUUAGCUAGUAGGUGAGGUAAUGGCUCACCUAGGCGACGAUACAUAGCCGACCUGAGAGGGUGAUCGGCCACACUGGGACUGAGACACGGCCCAGACUCCUACGGGAGGCAGCAGUAGGGAAUCUUCGGCAAUGGGGGCAACCCUGACCGAGCAACGCCGCGUGAGUGAAGAAGGUUUUCGGAUCGUAAAGCUCUGUUGUAAGUCAAGAACGGGUGUGAGAGUGGAAAGUUCACACUGUAACGGUAGCUUACCAGAAAGGGACGGCUAACUACGUG
rnacentral:rRNA from 1 species